rnacentral:rRNA from 1 species
UUCAAGCCAUAUCACCAUGCAGCUCUCGCCUGGUUUCCAACUGAAGCUAAGCAGGGUCGAGCCUGGCCAGUACCAGGAUGGGAGACUUCUUGGGGAAAACUAAGGUUGCUGCUGGAA